rnacentral:rRNA from 1 species
CCUACGGGAGGCAGCAGUGGGGAAUUUUGGACAAUGGGGGCAACCCUGAUCCAGCAAUGCCGCGUGUGUGAAGAAGGCCUUCGGGUUGUAAAGCACUUUUGUCCGGAAAGAAAUCGCGCUGGUUAAUACCUGGCGUGGAUGACGGUACCGGAAGAAUAAGCACCGGCUAACUACGUGCCAGCAGCCGCGGUAAUACGUAGGGUGCGAGCGUUAAUCGGAAUUACUGGGCGUAAAGCGUGCGCAGGCGGUUUUGUAAGACAGGCGUGAAAUCCCCGGGCUUAACCUGGGAAUUGCGCUUGUGACUGCAAGGCUAGAGUGCGUCAGAGGGGGGUAGAAUUCCACGUGUAGCAGUGAAAUGCGUAGAGAUGUGGAGGAAUACCGAUGGCGAAGGCAGCCCCCUGGGACGUGACUGACGCUCAUGCACGAAAGCGUGGGGAGCAAACAGGAUUAGAUACCCUGGUAGUCCACGCCCUAAACGAUGUCAACUAGUUGUUGGGGAUUCAUUUUCUCAGUAACGUAGCUAACGCGUGAAGUUGACCGCCUGGGGAGUACGGUCGCAAGAUUAAAACUCAAAUGAAUUGACGG